CCCUUAGAUGUUCUGGGCCGCACGCGCGCUACACUGAUGCAUUCAGCGAGUCCAUCCUUGCCCGAAAGGGCUGGGUAAUCUUUUGAAAUUGCAUCGUGAUGGGGCUUGCGGGUUGCAACUACCCGCACCAACGAGGAAUUCCUAGUAAACGCAAGUCAACAACUUGCAUUGAUUACGUCCCUGCCCUUUGUACACACCGCCCGUCGCUCCUACCGAUUGGGUGUGCUGGUGAAAUGUUCGGAUCGGCCGUUUGUCGCGGUUUCCGCGUCAUGUGGCUGAGAAGUUCAUUAAACCCUCCCACCUAGAGGAAGGAGAAGUCGUAACA
rnacentral:rRNA from 1 species